GAGAGAGGCUCGCUAGCAACGAAGACUGUUUUUUCCGCGACUUUGGUUGGACCCCAGGAGCUCACUCG
rnacentral:tRNA from 1 species